UAUUCCAAAGGUUAGGGCGUUUCUUAUCUCCAUUCCAGGGAGUAAAGAUUAUGUAGCUUAAGGAUGAUUGUUCCUAGUUAAAGUGAUUAACUACCUGCCUGGAAUUUAGUUAAGGGUUUUUAUUCACUCUCUAACUUCAGGGAAAAAUCCCUACCUGGGGAAACAACCUUUCUCGGAGAAGUGACCUUGUUUAAAACACAUAGUGCCAAGAAGGUGAGCAAACAUAUUAAGAACAGUAUGCCAGUACGCCAUAUACGCUUGAAACAUAUGCUGUGCAGAUGUUUCUUCCCUGCAGCGACUGUGUCAAGCAGCAAGGAUGGACCGGCUUCCAGCAGUAUCUCCUCCAUGACCUAAAGUCUUCAAGGGUUUCCUCCCAGCACACUCACCUGAGUUAAACCUGUAGAAGGCACUUGUUUGCUGAAGAGACCCAGAUGCCUACGGGAUCACAUCUGGUGGUGCCUGUGUGGGAGACUUGUAAAUAUCGACUGUCGUUUGAAAGACUUAAGAAGAAGGCUGUAGACCCGAUAAAGUUUUGGUAAAGACCUUGCUAUCAGUGCUCUGAAAACCUAAGAAGUCUGAACAAAACUGCUAUCAAAGACUAUUUCCCAACGACUGCAAUGCAAGAGGGUGAUACCAUACGAACAAAUCUUCGCUUGUGAGAUGCUGCUGUUGCAGAGGGCUGCCCUCCUCUCCGUGAGAGUGGCCGUGCAAGCUCCGAGUGUCUGUCUUUAAAACGAUACCUGGCACUUGAGCUUGUCCCGGAAGGAUGUUGUGAAACCAGGCACAGAAUGUCCGUAAAGCUCCCAGAGUUUGCAUGCAGGAAAGCCCAGAGUGGUAAUAAAUAAUACCUUGGGUUUACACCGUGCUCUUACGCCAGAAUGCAAACCUUGGUAGGAAGAGAAGGUACCAUCAUUUCAACUGUCUUUCUCCAAAGCCUCCCUAAAAGAGCGGGAGGCUGUGUUUGCCGGUGG